rnacentral:rRNA from 1 species
GAUUAACGCUGGCGGCGUGCCUAAUACAUGCAAGUCGAACGGAGAGAUUAGUAUUUAUACUGAACUCUUAGUGGCGAAUGGGUGAGUAACGCGUUGGUGACCUGCCCCGAAGAGGGGGAUAACGGUUCGAAAGGGCCGCUAAUACCCCAUGUGGUUAUAAGAGUUAGAGAUCUUAUAACUAAAGGAGUAAUCCGCUUUGGGAGGGGCCUGCGUCCCAUCAGCUAGUUGGUAGGGUAAUGGCCUACCAAGGCUACAACGGGUAGGGGACCUGAGAGGGUGACCCCCCACACUGGCACUGAAACACGGGCCAGACACCUACGGGUGGCAGCAGUAGGGAAUAUUAGACAAUGGGCGAAAGCCUGAUCUAGCAACGCCGCGUGCACGAUGAAGGCCUUCGGGUUGUAAAGUGCUUUUCGGGGAGAUGAGGAAGGACAGUACCCCCGGAAUAAGGAUCGGCUAACUACGUG